UCGAGAAUGUUUUCUCAAACCUUUAUGCUAUAUUGUUCGGACGGGAAAAUGGAAAGCAUUCAUUUCCACUAGCGUGUGAAAGAAGGGAAAAUACGAGGAAACGCGUCACCAUUGAUCUUGAGUUUUCGAUAUUGGAAAGAAAGAUAUAAAAAGGUAAGAAGAUUGGUUGAGUAUAUAAGUGUAAUUCUUCAUUUGACAUUUUCGAAAUCCACUUGAGAAAUUUUGAGCUUCCGACUUUGAAGGGAGGAUCUAUACUGACGAGAGGACUCGUUGCCUUUUAGCAAUAGGACCUCAAUAUCAAAUUCCACCAAACUUUUAUAUUCACUACUAUUCAGUAAUAUUUUUCUUCUCU
rnacentral:lncRNA from 1 species